rnacentral:tRNA from 1 species
GCAGCAGUGUUUCAGUGGUAGAAUUCUCACCUUCCAUGUGGGAGACCUAGGUUCGAUUCUUGGCCGAGGUA